rfam:Rattus norvegicus chromosome 7, whole genome shotgun sequence.
GGAGAUUUAGCUCAGUGGUAGAGUGCUUGCCUAGCAAGUAAAAGGCCCUGGGUUCGGUCCCCAGCUCUG